UGGGGCAUGAACCUGGCAUACAAUGUAGAUUUCUGUGUUUGUUAGGCAACAGCUACAUUGUCUGCUGGGUUUCAGGCUACCUGG
rfam:Rattus norvegicus chromosome X, whole genome shotgun sequence.